ensembl:lncRNA
GGCAUAUUCCAAACAAAUUUGAACAGUCCUGGUAAAUUCAAACCAACAACCAGCCAAGAUUUAUAUUUGGUUUGAGUGAAACAUUUCAAGACAAAAGUUAGAGAUAAUGAAUAUAGUCAGCAUCCAACAGAAAAUUCUGUUUUGCCCUAGUGGUGCCUUGCUUCGCCAUGUUUACACUGUUCAGGUUUGAGACUGAACAUCUCUUUGGGGCAUCUCUUUGGAGUCUGAAAAGCUCAUUCCCUGAAAGAGAAAACAGGCAAAUAUUGCAACAUCCACAGGCACAAUGUGUGCAGGAGUGGGUUACUCUUGGCCUGAGUUGGCAUUCAUUUUCUGGGAUAAAGGAAGAACUUGUCUUCCUCACACACAAUUCACUCCGUGGUUUUGCUUCUGUCUUUCCCAGGACCCAGUGCUUCCUCUCGAUUGGAAACUGUUUCUGGCCGCAUGUAUGUGUUUUUCACCCUCCAGAGAGGAUAUUUGCUCCAUUGUGUCCAGGAUCAGCCAGACCAGGGACUUGAAAUGUGAACCUGUCUUCUGAACGUACCUGAAGGGGAAAAUCUGCCUUGGAGAAAUCAAGCUGAUAUUCAGGGGUGUCACUUCAUUUUAGUUAUUUGACAGCGUGAAGAAGUGUUUAAUUUUCUAAAUAACGUUACAAGCCAAACUAAAGGGAAAACAUGCGGUAUAAAGCUUUUCAACAUUGUCCGUCUUCUGACGGGUAAAGUCUUCUUGAGAAAGUACCUUUGCCCAGUAAUACUGCUCCUCAGCCAAGAGUUGUAAUGUCCAUGGACAUUAUAAGGAACUAUAAAUGUUAGAAGGCUAGAGGAAUACAUUUGGCAAGAUAAAGGAAAAUAUCUCAGGAUGUAAAGUAGUCUCUGACCCUUAAUUUUUCUUCAUGUUUUAUCAUGUAAAGAUGGCACUACUUAUAGUGACUGUUAAUGUAUUAACAUUUCCUUGAAAAUGGAUAUUAAUCUGCCAUGAGGUUUCCUUUGUAGGUAUGUUUUACUUAGCUGUAUGAUGAAGGGAGAGCAGGGUAAUAGAGAGAUAAUAAGCUUUUCAGAUGGGCGGAUCUACCACUUAGAAAGUACCCUUGGGCAAGACAUAUAAACUCUUCGGAACUCAACUAGAUUUACUCAAAUUUAAGAAUGAGAACAAUAGUAUAUACUUCGAAAUGUUUCAGAGAAAGGUCUAUCCUAAUGCCUGCAGUAUAAAUUCCAAUAAAGAUUCUUUAAUUUCAUUUUUCACCCUUUUUGAAUGAAGUGAUCUUGAUUAUAAAGUUGUUCUGAGGAGCUCUGAAAAGACCACUGUACCCAGUGUGAGGAAUUGUGUUCUGGUAACAGCUCUGCUUUUAACUGGGUGAUUUUAGGAAAAGUCACUUUCUGAGGUUUAGUUUGCUUAUCUGUUGAAUCUAAAGGUUGAAAUCUGAUUCUGUUCUGUGACUCUGUUAUUCUAAAUAUUUAAUGAAAUAGAACUUCAAUGUUAAGAAUAGUAGUAUGAUAACUAUACUAAGAAAAAUAAAUCAUUGUCAUUAUCAAACAAACAAAAAAUUGAUUCCUAAAUCCUAUAAUUAAUAGUUACAUUAUUUACUGUCGUGAGCUGAUAAAUAUAUAACUGAGAAGAAAUGGAUAACACACAUUUUGAGAACUGAAAUUCUAACAAAACUUCAACUUGUUUAUCACUUAAAAUGUAGCAUCAUGCAGAAUGCAUACAGUUUGCAAAAGAAACUUUGGAAAGAAAUAUGGUAGAUGUGCAUGUACAGAAGUCUAGGCUUCUACAAGUUUUAAAGUGUGAGUGUAAGGCCCACCUACUCAAAGAAAUUCAGGGGGAAACUCAACUUUUUUCUUUAAUCCUCACUGUUGUGUUUGAUAUAAUUUUCUAAGUAGAGACAUCAGUGAGAAAAAUGAGGAUGCUUCCAUGUUUGUGUAGAAAGAAACGUUUGCUAUCCAUUCCAGUGUCCCCAGUGUUAAACUGAUAGGCACCUUGGACUUAUUUUCUUCCCAUUGUAUAAACUCAUACUUGACUUCAAAGAAAAGGAAAAAUACAAAGUCCCUCUUUUCUAAGGGGCAGAAAUCCUUUGUGCAACUGGUUGACCCUUGGCUCUCUAAGGUCCUAUAGGAAAUCUUUUGUAACACAAUGCAGAGGACUCUUCCUUGUGUUGAUGUUGUUUACAUAGUUGGUGGGCCUGGCUGAAAACAAAAAUCACAUAAACUCAUGAAAGAUUAGGGUCCCAUUUCCUGACCACAAGGAAGGGGAUUGGUACAUCCAAGCAGUCUGUUACUCAGAAAAAUCAUUAAAUAUUCUACCAUGAGGGACACUUUGAAAAAUUGAGAGAAAGGAAGAAGGAAGAAAGCAGAAUCGAGACUUAUGUACAUUUGUGGCAGAGUAAGAGUUUAAAUCCAACAAGGGAUUUGCUUUGGGGAAUUUCCUGUCCAGCCCUUUAUUACCAGGGUCUUUGUAAAUUGUGCAGUGACGUUGGGCUCCCCUUUGGGCAGUUCCCGGGAAAGGCAGUUCUUACACUUUUCCUCUAGGUCUUAGAAGGAUCUCAUUUUCUCAAUGUCUCUUUCAGGUUGGCAGAAGGCGCAAGAAUGACACUUCCCUCAGAUGGGACAGGCAGGCUCUGUGGCCGCGUAAACACGCUGUAACCGAGUUCUUUGCUGAUUUUUACAGAGUUUCAUUAGCUCCCAAGAAGAACUGAGGGUGCUGAAUUGUCUAGUGCUGGCCUGCCCCACAAGAGCCUGGGGGCUCCUUCCCCCUAACCCAGAACUGGCAGCGCAGGGGGCGGAGAAGUGGGGGUGG